AUGUGGUGAUGACAUUGACAUAGACUUCACUUCACCCUUGUCUAAGCAAGCCUCUUCCUUUCUCUCUACAAAAUAUUUCAUUUCUCUCUGCUUAAAAGCCUCCUUUUAUCUCAUUCUCUUCUUUCAACUACUAUGAACGGCCAACUGCUGGAAGUUAUCAGUUGAUCUCCAAUGAGGUGGCUUCAAUCCCUCUUCACUCCUUUGAAGAAGAUGUGGGUUCGAUUAAACUCUGCUCACAAGAAGAGCAGAGGGAUAUAUAUCUUAUACGAGGACAUUAAAUCGUGUCCAUACGAAGACGUUCACGUGAUGUGGUCAAUCCUGGUUGAGUCGAGUACACCCAAAGAAUGAAAUCUAUGUAUAGCUCACAUCAUUUCUCAGCUUGCCAAUGACCAUCACAGAGAGAUUGCGUGUGUUUUCAUAUACCAAUGUUAUGUACAUAAAUUUCAUUUAUAUACAACCAUUAACUUUCAUCUUUAAUUCACAUUUAUGUGUAGAAAGUUCAGUAGUAACAUUUGAGUUUAUGUAUACAUAAAAAGGUUUUUCUUGGAUUCAUGCA